AUGGCUCAGGAUGAACGCUGGCGGCGUGCCUAACACAUGCAAGUCGAACGGAGUUUGUAUAACAGAAGUCUUCGGAUGGAAGAUAUAUAAACUUAGUGGCGGACGGGUGAGUAACGCGUGGGUAACCUGCCUCGUACAGGGGGAUAGCAGCUGGAAACGGCUGGUAAAACCGCAUAAGCGCACGGUGUCGCAUGACACAGUGUGAAAAUAUUUAUAGGUACGAGAUGGGCCCGCGUCUGAUUAGCCAGUUGGCAGGGUAACGGCCUACCAAAGCGACGAUCAGUAGCCGGCCUGAGAGGGCGGACGGCCACAUUGGGACUGAGACACGGCCCAAACUCCUACGGGAGGCAGCAGUGGGGGAUAUUGCACAAUGGGCGAAAGCCUGAUGCAGCGACGCCGCGUGAGUGAAGAAGUAUUUCGGUAUGUAAAGCUCUAUCAGCAGGGAAGAAAGGCCCGAAAGGGAGAUGACGGUACCUGAAUAAGAAGCCCCGGCUAACUACGUGCCAGCAGCCGCGGUAAUACGUAGGGGGCAAGCGUUAUCCGGAUUUACUGGGUGUAAAGGGAGCGUAGAUGGUUAGACAAGUCUGAAGUGAAAACCCGCGGCUCAACCGUGAGGAUUGCUUUGGAAACUGUGUAACUAGAGUACUGGAGAGGUAAGCGGAAUUCCUAGUGUAGUAGUGAAAUGCGUAGAUAUUAGGAAGAACAUCAGUGGCGAAGGCGGC
rnacentral:rRNA from 1 species